AGUCCAUAUUAUUGGGCCUAAAGCGUCCGUAGCUUGCCGACCAAGUCUAUCGGGAAAUCCACCUGCCCAACAGGUGGGCGUCCGGUAGAAACUGGCCGGCUUGGAACCGGAAGGCUCAGAGAGUACGUCCGGGGUAGGAGUGAAAUCCCGUAAUCCCGGACGGACUACCGAUGGCGAAAGCACUCUGAGAAAACGGAUUCGACAGUGAGGGACGAAAGCUCGGGUCUCAAACC
rnacentral:rRNA from 1 species